rnacentral:rRNA from 1 species
AGUCAACAUAACCAGAGGACGUGGAUAAACUCGGGAAACUGAGGCUAAACCGCGAUAGACCAAGAUACCUGGAAUGGUUUUUGAUCAAAAUCUAUAUGGCCCUUGGAUUGGACUGCGGCCGAUCAGGCUGUUGGUGAGGUAAUGGCCCACCAAACCUGUAACCGGUACGGGCUCUGAGAGGAGGAGCCCGGAGAUGGGUACUGAGAAAAGGACCCAGGCCCUAUGGGGCGCAGCAGGCGCGAAAUCUCUGCAAUAGGCGAAAGCUUGACAGGGUUACUCUGAGUGAUUCCCGCUAAGGGGAUCUUUUGGCACCUUUAAAAAUGGUGCAGAAUAAGGGGUGGGCAAGUCUGGUGUCAGCCGCCGCGGUAAUACCAGCACCCCGAGUGGUCGGGACGAUUAUUGGGCCUAAAGCAUCCGUAGCCGGUACUGCAAGUCUUCCGUUAAAUCCACCUGCUUAACAGUUGGGCUGCGGGGGAUACUACAGCGCUAGGAGGCGGGAGAGGCAAGCGGUACUCAAUGGGUAGGGGUAAAAUCCGCUGAUCCAUUGAAGACCACCAGUGGCGAAGGCGGCUUGCCAGAACGCGCUCGACGGUGAGGGAUGAAAGCUGGGGGAGUAAACCGGAUUAGAUACCCGGGUAGUCCCAGCUGUAAACGAUGCAGACUCGGUGAUGGGCUGGCCUUGUGCCAGCCCAGUGCCGCAGGGAAGCCGUUAAGUCUGCCGCCUGGGGAGUACGGUCGCAAGACUGAAACUUAA